rnacentral:rRNA from 1 species
AGCAGCCGCGGUAAUUCCAGCUCCAAUAGCGUAUAUUAAAGUUGUUGCAGUUAAAAAGCUCGUAGUUGAAUUUCGAGAUCAAAUUGUUGGUCGUGCCUUGGUACGCACUGGCAUUAUUGGUUUCUCCCUUCUGACGAAUCAUGAUGUCAUUAAUUUGGUGUCUUGGGGAAUCAGGACUGUUACUUUGAAAAAAUUAGAGUGUUUAAAGCAGGCUCACGCUUGAAUACAUUAGCAUGGAAUAAUGAAAUAGGACGUUUGAUUCUAUUUUGUUGGUUUCUAGGAUCGACGUAAUGAUUAAUAGGGAUAGUUGGGGGCAUUAGUAUUCAAUUGUCAGAGGUGAAAUUCUUGGAUUUAUUGAAGACUAACUACUGCGAAAGCAUUUGCCAAGGAUGUUUUCAUUAAUCAAGAACGAAAGUUAGGGGAUCGAAGACGAUCAGAUACCGUCGUAGUCUUAACCAUAAACUAUGCCGACUAGGGAUCGGAUGAUGUCAAUUUCUUAAUGACUCAUUCGGCGCCUUAC